GCAGAGGGAGAGAGCCUGAGGCUACAUGGAAAGAAAUCGGGGAACCCAGCUGACAGCAGGAAUUGAGGCCCCAGAAAUGCGACUCCAGUGGAGCGGCUCCGGCCAGCCUGCAGCUGUCCAAGCCACAGAGCCACGAGCGAGGAAGGAAGCCAGCACAGACAUUCCAGCCCUGCCAUCUCGCAGGCAAUGGGAGGACCUUCCACGUGUGCCCUCCCCACCGCUGUGCACAGAGCUCUCUUGGCCCCACAACCUCCCCAAUGCUCGGUGUGGUUGGUCUCCUCAAUUUUCUACAUUUUGAUGAAUGUGCUGAUGUAUCUUCUGCUUUGCAUUGCAUUUCCCUGGUGUUAAUGAGGUUGGUCACCAUUUCAUGUUUAUUGGCCACGGGACAUCUUCUUUUGUGAAGUGUUUGUUCAAUUCUACGCAUAUUGCCUCCUAGGCUGCCGGUCAUUUUUUCAUUGGUUUGUAGAAAUAUAUAUAUAUAUACACACACAAGCACACACACAGAGGCAGGAGGAGAGAGAGAGAGAUGAUUCAAUUUAAUAUGUUCAUUACAUACUUCCAGGGUUUUUUGUUUAUUUGUUUUUUGUUUUUGACACAGAGUCUCGCUCUGUCGCCCAGGCUGGAGUGCAGUGGCGUGAUCUCGCCUCACUGCAAGCUCCGCCUCCCGGGUUCACGCCAUUCUCCUGCCUCAGCCUCCCAAGUAGCUGGGACUACAGGCGCCCGCCACCACGCCUGGCUAAUUUUUUUAUUUUUAGUAGAAACAGGGUUUCACCAUGUUAGCCAGGAUGGUCUCGAUCUCCUGACCUCGUGAUCCACCCACCUCGGCCUCCCAAAGUGCUGGGAUUACAGGCGUGAGCCACCACGCCUGGCCAACUGCCAGGUCUUAUAUGUUAAUAUCUUGUUGAGGAUUUCUGUUUAUGUUCAUGAGUGAGACUGGUCUGUAAGUUUAUUUUUUCUCUGUUGAGUUUGGGUAUCACGUUUUCCUGGAGGUGAAACAUGACAGGUGGAGUUGCUGUUCCCAUUAUGCCUCGGCUCUAGAAGAGUUUGUGUGAGAUGGGUGCUAUUUAUUCCUUAAAUGUUUAGUAGAAUUCACUGGUGAAGCAUUUGUGACUAGAGGUUCCACUGUGUGAAAUAUUUUCAUGACAGAUCCAAUUUAUUUAACAAAUGUGGGGUCAUUUAUCUUUCUUCUUUCAGUUUUGGUAAGUUAUAAUUUUCUAGGAAUUUUUCCAUCUCAUCAAAACUUUCAAAUUUGUUAGCAUGUUCCUUGUGCUCUAUUUUUUUUCUAUUAUCAUUAUACUUUAAGUUCUAGGGUACAUGUGCACAAUGUGCAGGUUAGUUACAUAUGUAUCCAUGUGCCAUGCUGGUGUUCUGCACCCAUUAACUCAUCAUUUACA
rnacentral:lncRNA from 1 species